rnacentral:rRNA from 1 species
CCUGAGAAACCCAAAAGAUCGAAUGGGGAGAUUCAUCGCCAGCGGCGUUGGCUUCCGUGCGGCUCGCGAUGGCCGGGACCUCGGUCUCGCGUCACGCGGCCGCUGCGGUAUGUCCGACGACGUCGGCGUGCACUUCUCCCCUAGUAGGACGUCGCGACCCGUUGGGUGUCGGACCGAUGGCCGUUUGGUCGACUGUCGCGUCGCGUUUACGCGCGCUCGUUGGCAGACCAAUGCGGCCGAGCGUCCGGCUGCCCGGCGGUAUAGAACGCUUAAGAUUGGUAAUGAGCCGCAUUAAGUGCGUUCAGGCUCGUCGGCAGGCUCGUCUCGCUCGGAUUUACGGACCUCGUGCCGUUGCCGGGUGCUUGGCGGGCCGUUAGUCGACGAUGUCCUCGGACUGGCUCUAAAAUUCGAAAGGAUUACCGGUCGGCGACGCUACUGCUUUGGGUACUUUC